rfam:Anaerobacillus arseniciselenatis strain DSM 15340 Ga0137926_151, whole genome shotgun sequence.
AUAAAAAAAUCCUCGUAGGAUUUCCUACGAGGUGCCUAAUAUCAAAAACAAAUACCGAUUAGUGUUUGUUUUUGUUCAAGGCUAUGGGAGAGGAGAAACCGGAGGAAGAACUUAUGGGGAAACGUAAGCCUUCUCCGCGG